rnacentral:ncRNA from 1 species
CUAAUUAGACGAUAAGACCCUAUAGAGCUUUAUAUAUGUAUUCUGUUAAGUAUUAAAAUUUUUAUUAGUUAAUAACCAGGUUGUAUAUUUUAUUGGGGCAAUAAAAGAAUAAAAUUAACUUCUUAUUAAUAAAUUUUAUUUAAUUAAUUAACUUUUAGUAUAAAAUUUAAUAGAAGUUACCUUAGGGAUAACAGCGUUAUUAAAGUUGAGAGUUCUUAUCGACACUUUAGAUUGCGACCUCGAUGUUGAAUUAAAAAUUCUUUGAGGGGCAGCAUUUUUAUUAGAUGGUCUGUUCGACCAUUAAAUUUUUACAUGAUUUGAGUUCAAACCGGUGUGAGCCAGGUUGGUUUCUAUCUUUUAG